rnacentral:ribozyme from 14 species
AAGAAAAAAGAAAAAAAAAACAUGAUCACAUCAUCUUCUUUGCUGUUUCUUGUUUGCUUUUUAUUUU